rnacentral:rRNA from 1 species
CCAUUAAAAGGGAUCGUGAGCUGGGUUCACACCGUCGCGAGACAGGUGUGUUGCUUUUUGGCGGAAGUGCAAGGGUCUCUGACGAGAAGGUUCCCACAGUACGAGAGGAACGGGGAAUCGGCGCCUCUAGUCCAUCAGUUGUCCGGCAGGGCAUCGCUGAGCAGCCACGCGCUACGGGAUAAGGGCUGAAAGCAUCUAAGCCCGAAACCCCCUCGAAAAAGAGAGACCUUUAAGGACAUUCGUAGAAGACGAGUUCGAUAGAGCCGGGGUGUACGAGGAAAGCCUUCGGGCGAUCCUUUCAGCCCGCGGCCACUAACGUCCGCAGCUACGUAA